rnacentral:rRNA from 1 species
UGGGGAAUAUUGCACAAUGGGCGCAAGCCUGAUGCAGCCAUGCCGCGUGUGUGAAGAAGGCCUUCGGGUUGUAAAGCACUUUCAGCGAGGAGGAAGGGUUCAGUGUUAAUAGCACUGUGCAUUGACGUUACUCGCAGAAGAAGCACCGGCUAACUCCGUGCCAGCAGCCGCGGUAAUACGGAGGGUGCAAGCGUUAAUCGGAAUUACUGGGCGUAAAGCGCACGCAGGCGGUUUGUUAAGUCAGAUGUGAAAUCCCGCGCUUAACGUGGAACUGCAUUUGAAACUGGC